rnacentral:rRNA from 1 species
AGCCAUGCAUGUCUAAGUACAAACUUUUACACGGUGAAACCGCGAAUGGCUCAUUAAAUCAGUUAUGGUUUAUUAGAUGGUGCUAUCCUACUUGGAUAACUGUGGUAAUUCUAGAGCUAAUACAUGCGACAAAGCUCCGACCCUCGAUGGAAAGAGCGCUUUUAUUAGAUCAAGACCAACCGGUAUCGCCUUCGGGUGUGCCGUCGGAUUGAUGACUCUGGAUAACCUUCGCCGAUCGUAUGGCCCCGAGCCGACGACGCAUCUUUCAAAUGUCUGCCCUAUCAACUUUCGUUGGUAGGUGAUUUGCCUACCAAGGUGUUUACGGGUAACGGGGGAUCAGGGUUCGAUCCCGGAGAGGGAGCAUGAGAAACGGCUACCACAUCCAAGGAAGGCAGCAGGCGCGCAAAUUACCCACUCUUAGCACGAGGAGGUAGUGACGAAAAAUAACAAUACGGGACUCUUUCGAGGCCCCGUAAUUGGAAUGAGUACACUCUAAACCCGUUAACGAGGAUCUAUUGGAGGGCAAGUCUGGUGCCAGCAGCCGCGGUAAUUCCAGCUCCAAUAGCGUAUAUUAAAGCUGUUGCAGUUAAAAAGCUCGUAGUCGGAUUUCGGGCGGCGGCCAAUGGUUCGGCUCCGUGCCGAUACUGCUGGUCGCGGCCUCCACGCCGGUCGUCUUUCGGUGCUCUUAACUGAGUGCCUUAAGUAGCCGGAGCGUUUACUUUGAAAAAAUUAGAGUGUUCAAGGCAGGCCUCGAGCUUGAAUGAUGGUGCAUGGAAUAAUGGAAUAGGACCUCGGUUCUAUUUUGUUGGUCUUCGGAACUGGAGGUAAUGAUUAAUAGGGACGGACGGGGGCAUUCGUAUUGCGGCGUUAGAGGUGAAAUUCUUGGAUCGUCGCAAGACGGACUACUGCGAAA